CAGAAAAUAGUUUAGAUAAAAUAUUAAUUUUGGGAAUUAAAGAAAAAGGAUUAUCUUUUUUUCUGA
rnacentral:tRNA from 1 species